rnacentral:rRNA from 1 species
AACGAACGCUGGCGGCAGGCUUAACACAUGCAAGUCGAACGGUUGUAGCAAUACAGCAGUGGCGCACGGGUGAGUAACGCGUGGAUAUCUGCCUUUUGGUUCGGAAUAACUCCGGGAAACUGGAGCUAAUACCGGAUGGUUCCUACGGGAUAAAGAUUUAACGCCAAAAGAUGAGUCCGCGUACGAUUAGCUAGUUGGUGGGGUAAUGGCCCACCAAGGCGACGAUCGUUAGCUGGUCUGAGAGGACGAUCAACCACACUGGGACUGAGACACGGCCCAGACUCCUACGGGAGGCAGCAGUGGGGAAUAUUGGACAAUGGGGGCAACCCUGAUCCAGCCAUACCGCGUGAGUGAUGAAGGCCUUCGGGUUGUAAAGCUCUUUUGGCGGGGACGAUGAUGACGGUACCCGCAGAAUAAGCCCCGGCUAACUUCGUGCCAGCCGCCGCAGUAAGAC